UCGACCUUGAUUGUAUUCCAUCCGGGAU
rnacentral:sRNA from 1 species